GACGAACGCUGGCGGCGUGCUUAACACAUGCAAGUCGAACGCUGAAGCCUAGCUUGCUGGGUGGAUGAGUGGCGAACGGGUGAGUAACACGUGAGUAACCUGCCCUCUUCUUUGGGAUAACGCCCGGAAACGGGUGCUAAUACUGGAUAUUCACUGAUUCUCGCAUGGGGGUUGGUGGAAAGGUUUUUUCUGGUGGGGGAUGGGCUCGCGGCCUAUCAGCUUGUUGGUGGGGUGAUGGCCUACCAAGGCUUUGACGGGUAGCCGGCCUGAGAGGGUGACCGGUCACAUUGGGACUGAGAUACGGCCCAGACUCCUACGGGAGGCAGCAGUGGGGAAUAUUGCACAAUGGGCGAAAGCCUGAUGCAGCGACGCCGCGUGAGGGAUGGAGGCCUUCGGGUUGUAAACCUCUUUCGCUCAUGGUCAAGCCGCAGCUUUGGGUUGUGGUGAGGGUAGUGGGUAAAGAAGCGCCGGCUAACUACGUGCCAGCAGCCGCGGUAAUACGUAGGGCGCGAGCGUUGUCCGGAAUUAUUGGGCGUAAAGGGCUUGUAGGCGGUUGGUCGCGUCUGCCGUGAAAUCCUCUGGCUUAACUGGGGGCGUGCGGUGGGUACGGGCUGACUUGAGUGCGGUAGGGGAGACUGGAACUCCUGGUGUAGCGGUGGAAUGCGCAGAUAUCAGGAAGAACACCGGUGGCGAAGGCGGGUCUCUGGGCCGUUACUGACGCUGAGGCGCGAAAGCGUGGGGAGCGAACAGG
rnacentral:rRNA from 1 species